UGCAGUCGCACGAGAACGGGUCUAAGCUUGCUUAGAUUGUCAGCUAAGUGGCGCACGGGUGAGUAAUAUAUAGGUAACAUGCCUUCGAGAAGGGGAUAACGUUUGGAAACGAACGCUAAUACCCUAUAUGCCUUUAAGUCUUAAGACUGCAAGGGAAAUAUUUAUAGCUCGAAGAUUGGCCUGUACAGUAUCAGCUAGUUGGUGAGGUAAUGGCUCACCAAGGCAAUGACGCUUAACUGGUUUGAGAGGAUGAUCAGUCACACUGGAACUGAGACACGGUCCAGACUCCUACGGGAGGCAGCAGUGGGGAAUAUUGCACAAUGGACGAAAGUCUGAUGCAGCAACGCCGCGUGGAGGAUGACACACUUCGGUGCGUAAACUCCUUUUAUAUAGGAAGAUAAUGACGGUACUAUAUGAAUAAGCACCGGCUAUCUCCGUGCCAGCAGCCGCGGUAAUACGGAGGGUGCAAGCGUUACUCGGAAUCACUGGGCGUAAAGAGAAUGUAGGCGGGUAGAUAAGUUUGAAGUGAAAUCCAAUGGCUCAACCAUUGAACUGCUUUGAAAACUGUUUACCUAGAAUAUGGGAGAGGUAGAUGGAAUUUCUGGUGUAGGGGUAAAAUCCGUAGAGAUCAGAAGGAAUACCGAUUGCGAAGGCGAUCUACUGGAACAUUAUUGACGCUGAGAUUCGAAAGCGUG
rnacentral:rRNA from 1 species